rnacentral:rRNA from 1 species
GACGAACCGUGCAAACGUUGUCCGGAUUUACUGGGCGUAAAGAGCGCGCAGGCGGUCGUUCAAGUCGAGUGUGAAAGCCCCCGGCUCAACUGGGGGGGGUCAUUCGAUACUGAUCGACUUGAAGGCAGGAGAGGGAAGUGGAAUUCCCGGUGUAGUGGUGAAAUGCGUAGAUAUCGGGAGGAACACCAGUGGCGAAGGCGACUUCCUGGCCUGUUCUUGACGCUGAGGCGCGAAAGCUAGGGGAGCAAACGGG